GACGAACGCUGGCGGCGUGCUUAACACAUGCAAGUCGAACGAUGAAGCCUAGCUUGCUAGGUGGAUUAGUGGCGAACGGGUGAGUAAUACGUGAGUAACCUACCUUUAACUCUGGGAUAAGCCUGGGAAACUGGGUCUAAUACCGGAUACGACCAAUCUCCGCAUGGGGUGUUGGUGGAAAGCGUUAUGUAGUGGUUAUAGAUGGGCUCACGGCCUAUCAGCUUGUUGGUGAGGUAACGGCUCACCAAGGCGACGACGGGUAGCCGGCCUGAGAGGGUGACCGGCCACACUGGGACUGAGACACGGCCCAGACUCCUACGGGAGGCAGCAGUGGGGAAUAUUGCACAAUGGGCGCAAGCCUGAUGCAGCGACGCCGCGUGAGGGAUGACGGCCUUCGGGUUGUAAACCUCUGUUAGCAGGGAAGAAGAGAGAUUGACGGUACCUGCAGAGAAAGCGCCGGCUAACUACGUGCCAGCAGCCGCGGUAAUACGUAGGGCGCGAGCGUUGUCCGGAAUUAUUGGGCGUAAAGAGCUUGUAGGCGGUUUGUCGCGUCUGCUGUGAAAGGCCCGGGGCUUAACUCCGUGUAUUGCAGUGGGUACGGGCAGACUAGAGUGCAGUAGGGGAGACUGGAAUUCCUGGUGUAGCGGUGGAAUGCGCAGAUAUCAGGAGGAACACCGAUGGCGAAGGCAGGUCUCUGGGCUGUAACUGACGCUGAGAAGCGAAAGCAUGGGGAGCGAACAGGAUUAGAUACCCUGGUAGUCCAUGCCGUAAACGUUGGGCACUAGGUGUGGGGGACAUUCCACGUUUUCCGCGCCGUAGCUAACGCAUUAAGUGCCCCGCCUGGGGAGUACGGCCGCAAGGCUAAAACUCAAAGAAAUUGACGGGGGCCCGCACAAGCGGCGGAGCAUGCGGAUUAAUUCGAUGCAACGCGAAGAACCUUACCAAGGCUUGACAUAUACUGGACCGCAUCAGAGAUGGUGUUUCCCUUCGGGGCUGGUAUACAGGUGGUGCAUGGUUGUCGUCAGCUCGUGUCGUGAGAUGUUGGGUUAAGUCCCGCAACGAGCGCAACCCUCGUUCUAUGUUGCCAGCACGUUAUGGUGGGGACUCAUAGGAGACUGCCGGGGUCAACUCGGAGGAAGGUGGGGAUGACGUCAAAUCAUCAUGCCCCUUAUGUCUUGGGCUUCACGCAUGCUACAAUGGCCGGUACAGAGGGUUGCGAUACUGUGAGGUGGAGCUAAUCCCUAAAAGCCGGUCUCAGUUCGGAUUGGGGUCUGCAACUCGACCCCAUGAAGUCGGAGUCGCUAGUAAUCGCAGAUCAGCAACGCUGCGGUGAAUACGUUCCCGGGCCU
rnacentral:rRNA from 1 species